GCUUUUAAAAAGCAGCUGGGAAUUAUGUUCUCUUGUUCAUUUGUUUCUAGCUUUUACUCUGUAGGCUUUAAGUUGUGAAGCAUUCGCUUCACAGUUUUGAAUUUGUGUUUGAUCUUGAUUCUUACUCCUCGGUGUGGCAAUAGAGCCCUUCGAUUUUAAAGGUUUAUUCGAGAUCACUCAUGGAAGAGUUUUGUCACUCUCUAAAAUUCAGCCAGGACUCUCAGAGUUGGCAUCGGGAGAACAGAUCCGUAUCAAGUUUGUGAAAAGUCUGUGAAGUAACUUUGUUAUGUGUUGCUUUUCAGGAGUAGGUGGUUUGCCAGACUUAGGUGACCAGGCAGUUUCACACAUAAACCCUCCAGCAAAUUUAGAAGUAACCAGGCCCAGCGCAGAGGAAGUGGAGUGCUGCUGUUGCACAGAAAUGUCGAACGGCUCCAGUGAAGUGGAUGUGAAAAGAACACGAAUACCUGCUUAUGAUGAUGAUAACACUGUUCUUUAUGCAUAUGAACCACAUACUGCAUAUGUCCAUAAUCAGGAAGCUGUUCUAUCUGACACAUCCUACAACGAAGAG